rnacentral:rRNA from 1 species
GGGUCAGUAGGUUGGUCGUGCCACCGGUACGUACUGGUCUCACUGAUUCCUCCUUCCUGAAGAACCGUAAUGCCAUUAAUUUGGUGUUGCGGGGAAACAGGACUGUUACUUUGAAAAAAUUAUAGUGUUUAAAGCAAGCUAACGCUUGAAUACAUUAGCAUGUAAUAAUGAAUUAGGACGAUCGAUCCUAUUUUGUUGGUUUCUAGGAUUGACGUA